rfam:Fukomys damarensis contig88798, whole genome shotgun sequence.
AGCUUUGUGCACUGGCAGUAUCACAGCCAAUGAGGUUUAUCUGAAGAGCAAUUAUUGCUAAUUGAAAAAAAAGGGUUGUUUUUUUUUUACCAAUUUAAUUGGGACUUUUCACAAGAUUUUUUUAAGGGUAAGUUUUAUACC